AUUUUGUUUUCCCACGCCAAGUUACAGUGGGAGUGGAGGUCUGGCUAUUUUGUGUUCUCAUCACAUUUUGUGCCUGAGCAAUAGCUGGCAAGGGUGUUGGAAGAGAUCUCGGUAGAGGCUACAGGUCCCACAGCAAUUACUGCCCCACUCCGGGCUCAAGGAAGAAAGCAGUUCAGCAUGAAGUAAACCAGCUGGAGCCCCAGUGUCAAAAAUAAAGAUCUAAAAUAUGUGUUCUUGGUAAAAUUAAGUUUUAGUCAUCUAUAGCCUUUAAGUGCUCUGGAUGACCUCCAGCUGCUCAGCUAGAAGAAGGUCUAUAAAUGCAUGAUGUUACUUUCUUUACUGAGUGGUUAAAAUUAGUAUUUGUCUUAGGGCUAUGCUGAAUAAUUACAGUUAAUUGAAUUACAGAAAUAGCUACAUAUAAUAUAUAUUUUUAAUAGAAAUAAUGGGUAUGGCCAUUUUGUUUGGCUUUAAAGCUCCUUGCAAUAUGAUUUUAGUAAAUGUGAGGGUUGAAAGUCUUUCAUACCACUAGAGACUGUGGCAUGAAAAUGCUUCACUUUUUUUUCUUUUUACCCAGAUUUAGUUCUAUGAUUUUAACACAUUUGAAUUUGACCCAUGAGGAAUCUCUGAAUAUUUUCAUUACAUUACCAAACAAUUGUUACAAAGUUUAAAACCAUAUGUAGUAAAUAAUAGUACAGAUAACAUGCAUAUGUAGCUAAUUUUGUUGGUCGGUCAGUUUGUGCCAGGCCUUAUUCUAAAUACUUUUUGUGAAUCAACUCAUCUAAUCCUCACAACAUCUCUAGGAGCAAGUACUAUUCUUAUUUGCACUUUGUAGAUGAGAAAAUAUGGCCCAGAGAGGUUAAGCAAUUUGCUCAAGGCCAAACAGCUAGUGAGCUGCAGAGCCAAGGUACUAAUCUAGAAACUCUGGGCUGUAGAGUCUGCAUCUUAACCACCAGGCUCUAUUGCUUACCAUGUGCCAGCUAUUGGCUAAAUGCUUAAUCCUCAUAAACCCUAUGGAUUGAUGCUACCAUUAUGAUCCCCAUUUAAUAAUGAGGGAGCAGGCCCAACUAAGAUGACUCUGCUAGCAAGUGGUUGAACCAGGCUUUUAAACUCAGUCCUGAGAUCUUAAAUACCACCCACUACUGCCUCCUAGAAGAGAUGGUAGGCUUAUUUUUUCAAUCUCAUAUAGCAUUAGAGAUUAAAUAGAUUUUAAAGAAAUGAGAAAUGAUUUACUCAAAGAGUACAGUGAUUAUUUGGUCAAAAUCAUCUAAAAUAUUUAAAU
rnacentral:lncRNA from 10 species